AUGGCGGAAACUGCUGAUUUUUCCUCUGUAAGCAAGGGCAUUUUUGGCACAAAAUCCUUGUCCGUGAACUUUGAGGGAAACUGGGACCUCCUUUGUUUGCCUGAUGAACAACUCCGUACCUAUCUCACCACAACAGAGAGGACGCUGAUUGGCUUCUGUUUUCAAGCUAGCAUUACCAAUGUGUCUCAUCGACCGUAGAGGUGAUGCUUGCCCUCGAACAUUUGCACCACUUUUUAGGAGUUCAAGUUCGGCUUCCUUCUUCUCCAGCACUUGCUUAAGGUUGGAGAUCUAAAUCAACCACAAAAACACAAAGACAUCAAUUACAGAUCGAGCUGCGCCAAGAUCUAUGGCGGCAACCCUCUCAGCAAAUUUGAGUGUGCUAACUGUUUCUCCAAAUGCAUCUGCCUCUGGAUUUAUGUGCACAAACAUCAAUGUCUUUGCCUGACCACCUAAUGAAUCUUGUAAUACUUGGUCUCUCGCCAACAGCUUCAGAUUUAUCUACUCUUUCACUUCCGGCUAAAUCCACGAGCUACCUGUGAGACCUGCUGCUCCUCUCAUUUAAAGCAGUAGCACCGACAGCACGGUUCUUUUGCCCAAUUCUCAUCAAUUCAAGAACAUCUUGUGUGCAUUUAACUGGAAUCAAACUAGCAUCAGCGGUGAAACCAUUGUUAUGCCAGUUGCUUUCACGUUUCCCGCCACAAAUGCAGUCACUGGAGACCAAACUAGUUCUGUGCCGCAGAUAAUUUGAUAUGGCUUCUAGAACUUCUGAUCUUGAUAAAGGACUGCACUCAUCUGCCAAUAUUUUCUUCAAGAAUAGCCUGAGCUGCAGGUGUCAAAGAAGCUAUCAAUCUACCACAUUCGGUCAUAAUGGUGAAUUGGCUUUAAUAUUGGUAAUACACAAGAAAUGCCUAUAAUAAGAUUGUUCUUGUUACCUGAUUGCUUUGAGAAACCAGCAAUCCAGAAAAGUUUUUGACUACUUUCCUCAGCACAGCAUCAAUUACCUGCAAAUGUUCAUCCUUAGUCCACAAGAAGAUGGACAACACAGUCUUACCUACCAUUAAAUUCAAUGGGAAGUCCUCAACUCCAUUCCUCUCCAUAAGAUAAGCCUGUAGAAGCCCGAGACCAAAGCGAUCAAAGAGGAAGGUCAGUAUAUUGGCAGCAUUUGAUUCUUCAAGUGAGACGUCGCCAGAUAAAUGGAGAAAUUCCAACAGCUGGUCAAAUUGUGAAGACUCGGAGUCAUCCAGUGACUCAUCCGCACUGUCACUACUACCAAAAGAGGACGGUGAUCCUUUAGGACAGGACGUGAUCCUGACAGUUCCACCAUAUUUCCAAACUCCAAUUCCUCCAGCCUGCUUCCAUUCGUAAUAUCCUUUUAGGCACAAAAUGCAGUCUACAACUUUGCUUGAUGAACCACCCUACAAGUUCAAAAACCUUAGCUCAAUACAAUGUCUCUUGGAAAAACAAUGUGAAACACUCUUGCAUAUAAUUUGGGCCAAUGUGAACAAACUGAUUAUUCUAACCUUUUCAAGAUCAGAUGCUUCAAACGUUAAAAGCUGCAUUUUGCCAACAGCUACAAGGAAGUUCCUCAUGUUCUCGAAGUAUUGAAUAGCAGAUUGGGCCGCGCAUUCUGAGGACAUAUCUACCACUGAAUUCACCACCACCUGUAUAUCAGGUAUCAAAACAUGGUUACUGAGCUGUUCAAGAAUCCGUUUUUUAAGGACAUUGUCCAUUUAAGUACAAAUUAUGUUACAUGGAUCCCUUCUUUGCCUGAUCAUUGUCAAACAGGCAUUUUAGGAGCUACUAUCUGUGUAUCCCAUACUUACACACACUGCUAUUAGAUACCUAUUGAUGACCGGGUCCAAA